UUCCAGACUCCUACGGGAGGCAGCAGUGGGGAAUAUUGCACAAUGGGGGAAACCCUGAUGCAGCGACGCCGCGUGAGCGAUGAAGUAUUUCGGUAUGUAAAGCUCUAUCAGCAGGGAAGAAAAUGACGGUACCUGACUAAGAAGCCCCGGCUAACUACGUGCCAGCAGCCGCGGUAAUACGUAGGGGGCAAGCGUUAUCCGGAUUUACUGGGUGUAAAGGGGGCGCAGACGGCGAUGCAAGCCAGGAGUGAAAGCCCGGGGCCCAACCCCGGGACUGCUCUUGGAACUGCGUGGCUGGAGUGCAGGAGGGGCAGGCGGAAUUCCUGGUGUAGCGGUGAAAUGCGUAGAUAUCAGGAGGAACACCGGUGGCGAAGGCGGCCUGCUGGACUGCAACUGACGUUGAGGCCCGAAAGCGUGGGGAGCAAACAGGAUUAGAUACCCUCGUAGUG
rnacentral:rRNA from 1 species